CACGUAGGGGGCAAGCGUUGUCCGGAUUUAUUGGGCGGAAAGAGCUCGUAGGCGGUUUGUCGCGUCGACUGUGAAAACCCGAGGCUUAACCUCGGGCCUGCAGUCGAUACGGGCAGACUAGAGUUCGGUAGGGGAGACUGGAAUUCCUGGUGUAGCGGUGAAAUGCGCAGAUAUCAGGAGGAACACCGGUGGCGAAGGCGGGUCUCUGGGCCGAUACUGACGCUGAGGAGCGAAAGCGUGGGGAGCGAACAGG
rnacentral:rRNA from 1 species